ensembl:snRNA U2 U2 spliceosomal RNA
AUCGCUUCUCAGCCUUUUGGCUAAGAUCAAGUGUAGUAUCUGUUUUUUGUUUGUUUGUUUGUUUGUUUUUUGUUUUUUGUUUUUUGACAGGCAGAGUGGACAGUGAGAGAGAGAGAGACAGAGAGAAAGGUCUUCCUUUGCCGUUGGUUCACCCUCC